rnacentral:rRNA from 1 species
UACGGGGGGGGCAAGCGUUGUUCGGAAUUACUGGGCGUAAAGGGCUCGUAGGUGGCCAACUAAGUCAGACGUGAAAUCCCCAGGCUUAACCUGGGAACUGCGUCUGAUACUGGAUGGCUUGAAUUCGGGAGAGGGAUGCAGAAUUCCAGGUGUAGCGGUGAAAUGCGUAGAUAUCUGGAGGAACACCGGUGGCGAAGGCGGCAUCCUGGACCGGUAUUGACGCUGAGGCGCGAAAGCUAGGGGAGCAAACGGG